GUCAGGAUGGCCAAGCGGUCUAAGGCGCUGUGUUAACGUCGCAGUCUCCCCUGGAGGCGUGGGUUUAAAUCCCACUUCUGACA